GCCCCACAAGACAUACAACACAGACAUACAACCACAUGCAGAGACACACACAAAGACAUACAUGCAACACACACGACCACAGAGAUACACAUACAGACAUAUACGAAAGCACACACAGUACACAGAAACACAUGACACACAGACGUAUAACCACACACACAAAAUCAUACACAGAAACACAUACACACACACACACACACAGAACCCUGCACUUCCUGUUUUCCCAUCUCUUUGAUGAUCCCAAAACCUCAGCAGGGAGGGGAGGGCC
rnacentral:lncRNA from 1 species